GACGAACGCUGGCGGCGUGGAUUAGGCAUGCAAGUCGAACGGUAUCAUCCUUUCGGGGGUGAGAGAGUGGCGAACUGGUGAGUAACACGUAGGUUAUCUACCCUCAAGACGGGGGACAACCCAGGGAAACUUGGGCUAAUACCGGAUGUGAGCAACUUUUAGUUGUUUGAAAGGUGGCGUAAGCUGUCGCUUGGGGAUGAGCCUGCGUCCUAUUAGUUAGUUGGUGAGGUAACGGCUCACCUAGGCAAUGAUAGGUAGGCGGCCUUAACGGGUGGUCGCCCACACUGGGAUUGAGAUACGGCCCAGACUCCUACGGGAGGCAGCAGUCGAGAAUAGUCUACAAUGGUCGGAAGACUGAUAGUGCGACGCCGCGUGAACGAUGAAUCCCUUCGGGGUUAAAGUUCUUUUAUAUGUGAGCAGUGCUUCUUAUAUUAACAGUAUGGGGAAGAGAUAUUAGCAUAUGAAUAAGCAACGGCUAACUCCGUGCCAGCAGCCGACGGU
rnacentral:rRNA from 1 species